GCGUGCAGGCGGUCUGAUAAGUUCGGCGUGAAAUAUUCCGGCUUAACCGGGAUAGGUCGUCGGAGACUGUCGGACUAGAGGGUGAUAGAGGCGUGUGGAAUUCCGGGUGUAGUGGUGAAAUGCGUAGAGAUCCGGAGGAACACCAGUGGCGAAGGCGACACGCUGGGUCACACCUGACGCUAAAGCGCGACAGCAUGGGGAGCGAACGGGAUUAGAAACCCCGGUAGUCCAUGCCGUAAACGAUGCCAACUCGGUGUCUGAUCCGGGGAACCGGAUUGGGUACCCAAGCAAACGCGGUAAGUUGGCCGCCUGGGGAGUACGGUCGCAAGAUUAAAACUCAAAGGAAUUGACGGGGGCCCGCACAAGCAGCGGAGCGUGUGGUUUAAUUCGAGGCUACACGAAGAACCUUACCUGGGUUUGACAUACGAGUAAUAGGGAACCGAAAGGGGACCGACCGCAAGGAGCUCGUACAGGUGCUGCAUGGCUGUCGUCCGCUCGUGCCGUGAUGUGUUCGGUUAAGUCCGCAA
rnacentral:rRNA from 1 species